CGUGAGACAGUUCGGUCCCUAUCUACCAUGAGUGUAAGAAAAUUGAGAGAAUCCGACCUUAGUACGAGAGGACCGGGAAGGGCUAACCUCUGGUGGAUCAGUUGUUGAAAGGCAUUGCUGAAAAGCUAAGUUAGUAAUGAAUAAUUAUUGAAUUCAUAUAAAUAAGAAGUCAAUCUCAAAAAAAAUUUUCUUUUAAAGUUCGUGAAAGACUAUCACGUUGAUAGGCCUAGGGUGUAAUUUGUGUAAACAAUUUAGCUAAAGGUACUAAUGA
rnacentral:rRNA from 13 species